rnacentral:rRNA from 1 species
GUGGGGAAUAUUGGACAAUGGGCGAAAGCCUGAUCCAGCCAUGCCGCGUGUGUGAAGAAGGUCUUCGGAUUGUAAAGCACUUUAAGUUGGGAGGAAGGGCAGUAAGUUAAUACCUUGCUGUUUUGACGUUACCGACAGAAUAAGCACCGGCUAACUUCGUGCCAGCAGCCGCGGUAAUACGAAGGGUGCAAGCGUUAAUCGGAAUUACUGGGCGUAAAGCGCGCGUAUGUGGUUUUGUAAGUUGGAGGUGAAAUCCCCGGGCUCAACCUGGGAACUGCCUCCAAAACUGCAUGACUAGAGUGCGGUAGAGGGUAGUGGAAUUUCCUGUGUAGCGGUGAAAUGCGUAGAUAUAGGAAGGAACACCAGUGGCGAAGGCGACUACCUGGACUGAUACUGACACUGAGGUGCGAAAGCGUGGGGAGCAAACAGGAUUAGAUACCCGAGUAGUCC